AUGGGACCGGAAGAGGAUUAUUCGUUUUUUUCCUGUAUUUCCAGUAUAUAAGGCAGGUGUUAAUGUGGAUUAUUCAGGUGGCUAGCUGACAUUUCGAGAUGAAGUUCGUAGCGUUGUUUGUUGCUGUACUGGCGAUAGUGUUUGCCGUUGUGAGCGGCAUGGGCAUCGGCGGCCAAACAGCGUUGUCGCACAAGGAGAAGGCUGGUUGCGGCGGCGGAUCCGGCGGCCCCCCACCACCACCUCCCACUAACAGUUCCGGUUAAUC